rnacentral:rRNA from 1 species
GAUGAACGCUGUCUACAGGCUUAACACAUGCAAGUCGAGGGGAAACGACGGGGAAGCUUGCUUCCCCGGGCGUCGACCGGCGCACGGGUGAGUAACGCGUAUCCAACCUGCCUCUGACUGUGGGAUAACCCGUCGAAAGUCGGCCUAAUACCUCAUGGCAUCGUCUGCGGGCAUCCAACGACGAUUAAAGAUUUCAUCGGUCAGGGAUGGGGAUGCGUCUGAUUAGCUUGUUGGCGGGGUAACGGCCCACCAAGGCUACGAUCAGUAGGGGUUCUGAGAGGAAGGUCCCCCACAUUGGAACUGAGACACGGUCCAAACUCCUACGGGAGGCAGCAGUGAGGAAUAUUGGUCAAUGGGCGGGAGCCUGAACCAGCCAAGUAGCGUGCAGGAUGACGGCCCUAUGGGUUGUAAACUGCUUUUAUGCGGGGAUAAAGUGAGGGACGUGUCCUUCAUUGCAGGUACCGCAUGAAUAAGGACCGGCUAAGUCCGUG